UUUCAGUUAUCGAAUGGGAGACUUCCACGAGAAGCCCAAUUCCAGUGCCAUAUAAGCCCCUGUGACCAUCUGGAAAGCAACGUUGUUCAGUUUGCAGUGUUGCAGACUGUCCCAGGUCACGGGUAUAACAUAGAAUUUGGACUCCUAUCUAAUAGAGCCAUCUCGGAUGUGGUCAAAAGUAAAACAGAUUUACCACGAUCACAGGAGGAACCCUUGUAAACUGAAGCGGCGAAGCACCAACUAAUGCUCAUCGUUACAGUUCCUGGUUGAGUGAUUUCCAUGGGUAACCAUAGUCCUGUGCCAUAUAAGCCCCUGCGACCGUCUGGAAAUAUUCCAGGAUUCCAGGUAGUGUAUCUUCAGCAGCCAGUCUUCGGACCCGGGGGCGUGGCUGGCCGAAAAUCGCUGGUCGGACGUGUACGUGAAUCGACCGACCGUCAGCAGGUGGAUGUCGCGGUGUCGAAUCCACGAUACCUGUGACAGGAGACAGCCCAUAGUUGGUGGGAUGGGAGAGUUCGAAGCCAAAUGGAUCUUUUGACGAACUUCCCAAGAAGUCGGGAGCCACGACAGCAUUUUUAAGAAGUUUAAAUUGAUUCAUUACGCCAAGCGACAAAAGCUUCGGAGAUAAUUAAGGUAAUUAUGGACUUCACUGGCAGAAGACUGAUGGAGAAGUUGAGUGACGCCGCCAUCGCCUCCAGCAUCAGCCUGUCCGUUCCAGAAUAUUCCACACCACCAUCGGCCGUCUUCUCCUCAACCCAGUAAGGUCAUUUGAGUACUACACCUUUAGUACUGAAUCCUUUAUUAAACGCGAACUAACGACUUAGAAUGUAUGUUUAUGUUUGCAAUCACAGGGACUAUACUACUGCGCACAACUAACGUAGUAUAGCCAGGUUUUAGAUGGAUAUUGAGACAAAGUCCAGAGGAGAACAUUUGCUUCUGCAGUUCAACGUAACGUUACUCGUAUGCUUCAAGCUAACUUACUUUGAGAAUUUCUGAGGAAAAAGGAGAUUACUAUCUGGGAGAACGAGAUUCUCCGAUUGCGUCCAGAAUCCAACUCGAACCAGACGACUUCCAGAGGCGGUGAA